CCCAGAGAUAUUGAUUGGUGGUAAAGUAAUCUGCUCCCGGCAGAUUUACAGCCUUUUGAUUGCACCAACCCACGCGCGUGCGUGGGUUUUUUUU
rnacentral:sRNA from 1 species